GGAAUUUUGGACAAUGGGCGCAAGCCUGAUCCAGCCAUUCCGCGUGAGUGAAGAAGGCCUUCGGGUUGUAAAGCUCUUUCGCAAGGGAAGAAAGAUUAGGCUCUAACAUAGCGUGAUUAUGACGGUACCUUGAUAAGAAGCACCGGCUAACUACGUGCCAGCAGCCGCGGUAAUACGUAGGGUGCGAGCGUUAAUCGGAAUUACUGGGCGUAAAGCGUGCGCAGGCUGUUUUGUAAGUCAGAUGUGAAAUCCCCGAGCUUAACUUGGGUACUGCGUUUGAAACUACAAGACUAGAAUAUUUCAGAUGGGGGUAGAAUUCCACGUGUAGCAGUGAAAUGCGUAGAGAUGUGGAGGAAUAUCAAUGGCGAAGGCAGCCCCCUUGGAUAAUAUUGACGCUCAUGCACGAAAGCGUGGGGAGCAAA
rnacentral:rRNA from 1 species